ACGCUCGACACCUACGGGAGGCAGCAGUGGGGAAUAUUGCACAAUGGGCGAAAGCCUGAUGCAGCAACGCCGCGUGAGCGAAGAAGGCCUUCGGGUCGUAAAGCUCUGUCCUCAAGGAAGAUAAUGACGGUACUUGAGGAGGAAGCCCGGCUAACUACGUGCUAGCAGCCGCGGUAAUCUGAGCGGGCUGGCAAGGC
rnacentral:rRNA from 1 species